GACGAACGCUGGCGGCGUGCUUAACACAUGCAAGUCGAACGGAAAGGCCCUGCUUUUGUGGGGUGCUCGAGUGGCGAACGGGUGAGUAACACGUGAGUAACCUGCCCUUGACUUUGGGAUAACUUCAGGAAACUGGGGCUAAUACCGGAUAGGAGCUCCUGCUGCAUGGUGGGGGUUGGAAAGUUUCGGCGGUUGGGGAUGGACUCGCGGCUUAUCAGCUUGUUGGUGGGGUAGUGGCUUACCAAGGCUUUGACGGGUAGCCGGCCUGAGAGGGUGACCGGCCACAUUGGGACUGAGAUACGGCCCAGACUCCUACGGGAGGCAGCAGUGGGGAAUAUUGCACAAUGGGCGGAAGCCUGAUGCAGCAACGCCGCGUGCGGGAUGACGGCCUUCGGGUUGUAAACCGCUUUCGCCUGUGACGAAGCGUGAGUGACGGUAAUGAGUAAAGAAGCACCGGCUAACUACGUGCCAGCAGCCGCGGUGAUACGUAGGGUGCGAGCGUUGUCCGGAUUUAUUGGGCGUAAAGGGCUCGUAGGUGGUUGAUCGCGUCGGAAGUGUAAUCUUGGGGCUUAACCCUGAGCGUGCUUUCGAUACGGGUUGACUUGAGGAAGGUAGGGGAGAAUGGAAUUCCUGGUGGAGCGGUGGAAUGCGCAGAUAUCAGGAGGAACACCAGUGGCGAAGGCGGUUCUCUGGGCCUUUCCUGACGCUGAGGAGCGAAAGCGUGGGGAGCGAACAGGCUUAGAUACCCUGGUAGUCCACGCUGUAAACGGUGGGUACUAGGUGUGGGGUCCAUUCCACGGGUUCCGUGCCGUAGCUAACGCUUUAAGUACCCCGCCUGGGGAGUACGGCCGCAAGGCUAAAACUCAAAGGAAUUGACGGGGCCCCGCACAAGCGGCGGAGCAUGCGGAUUAAUUCGAUGCAACGCGUAGAACCUUACCUGGGUUUGACAUGGAUCGGGAGCGCUCAGAGAUGGGUGUGCCUCUUUUGGGGUCGGUUCACAGGUGGUGCAUGGCUGUCGUCAGCUCGUGUCGUGAGAUGUUGGGUUAAGUCCCGCAACGAGCGCAACCCUUGUUCACUGUUGCCAGCACGUUAUGGUGGGGACUCAGUGGAGACCGCCGGGGUCAACUCGGAGGAAGGUGGGGAUGACGUCAAGUCAUCAUGCCCCUUAUGUCCAGGGCUUCACGCAUGCUACAAUGGCUGGUACAGAGAGUGGCGAGCCUGUGAGGGUGAGCGAAUCUCGGAAAGCCGGUCUCAGUUCGGAUUGGGGUCUGCAACUCGACCUCAUGAAGUCGGAGUCGCUAGUAAUCGCAGAUCAGCAACGCUGCGGUGAAUACGUUCCCGGG
rnacentral:rRNA from 1 species